rnacentral:rRNA from 1 species
AGUGAACGCUGGCGGUAGGCCUAACACAUGCAAGUCGAACGGCAGCACAGUAAGAGCUUGCUCUUACGGGUGGCGAGUGGCGGACGGGUGAGGAAUACAUCGGAAUCUACUUUUUCGUGGGGGAUAACGUAGGGAAACUUACGCUAAUACAGCAUACGACCUACGGGUGAAAGCAGGGGAUCUUCGGACCUUGCGCGAUUGAAUGAGCAGAUGUCGGAUUAGCUAGUUGGCGGGGUAAAGGCCCACCAAGGCGACGAUCCGUAGCUGGUCUGAGAGGAUGAUCAGCCACACUGGAACUGAGACACGGUCCAGACUCCUACGGGAGGCAGCAGUGGGGAAUAUUGGACAAUGGGCGCAAGCCUGAUCCAGCCAUACCGCGUGGGUGAAGAAGGCCUUCGGGUUGUAAAGCCCUUUUGUUGGGAAAGAAAAGCAGCAGGUUAAUACCCCGCUGUUCUGACGGUACCCAAAGAAUAAGCACCGGCUAACUUCGUG